rnacentral:tRNA from 1 species
GCUGAGGUAGCUUAGCCUGGGAGUAGAAAAUCCCAAGAGCGCUGGACUGAAGAUCCAGUUGUCGUGAGUUCAACCCUCACCCUCAGCG